rnacentral:rRNA from 1 species
CGGCCGCGUCGACGUUUGAUCCUGGCUCAAGAACGAACGCUGGCGGCAUGCCUAACACAUGCAAGUCGAAACGAGACCUUCGGGUCUAGUGGCGCACGGGUUGCGUAACGCGUGGGAAUCUGCCCUUGGGUUCGGAAUAACAGUUGGAAACGACUGCUAAUACCGGAUGAUGACGUAAGUCCAAAGAUUUAUCGCCCAGGGAUGAGCCCGCGUAGGAUUAGCUAGUUGGUGGGGUAAAGGCCUACCAAGGCGACGAUCCUUAGCUGGUCUGAGAGGAUGAUCAGCCACACUGGGACUGAGACACGGCCCAGACUCCUACGGGAGCAGCAGUGGGGAAUAUUGGACAAUGGGCGAAAAGCCUGAAUCCAAGCAAUGACCGCGUGAAGUGAAUGAAAGGCCUUAAGGGUUGUAAAGCUCUUUUACCCGGGAUGAUAAUGACAGUACCGGGAGAAUAAGCCCCGGCUAACUCCGUAGCCAGCAGCCGCGGUAAAUACGGAGGGGGUCUAGCGUUAGUUCGGGAAAUUACGUGGGCGUAAAAGCGCAACGUAGGCCGGUCGUUUGUUUAAAAGG